rnacentral:rRNA from 1 species
AGAUUGAACGCUGGCGGCAUGCCUUACACAUGCAAGUCGAACGGCAGCACGGGGGCAACCCUGGUGGCGAGUGGCGAACGGGUGAGUAACAUAUCGGAACGUGCCCUGGAGUGGGGGAUAACUAGUCGAAAGAUUAGCUAAUACCGCAUACGAUCUACGGAUGAAAGUGGGGGAUCGCAAGACCUCAUGCUCGUGGAGCGGCCGAUAUCUGAUUAGCUAGUUGGUGGGGUAAAGGCCUACCAAGGCAUCGAUCAGUAGCUGGUCUGAGAGGACGACCAGCCACACUGGGACUGAGACACGGCCCAGACUCCUACGGGAGGCAGCAGUGGGGAAUUUUGGACAAUGGGCGCAAGCCUGAUCCAGCAAUGCCGCGUGAGUGAAGAAGGCCUGGUGUAAGUA